rnacentral:rRNA from 1 species
GAUGAACGCUGGCGGCGUGCCUAGUACAUGCAAGUCGAGCGAACGGACGAGAAGCUUGCUCCUCUGAUGUUAGCGGCGGACGGGUGAGUAACACGUGGAUAACCUACCUAUAAGACUGGGAUAACUUCGGGAAACCGGAGCUAAUACCGGAUGAUAUUUUGAACCGCAUGGUUCAAAAGUGAAAGGCGGUCUUGCUGUCACUUAUAGAUGGAUCCGCGCUGCAUUAGCUAGUUGGUAAGGUAACGGCCUACCAAGGCAACGAUGCAUAGCCGACCUGAGAGGGUGAUCGGCCACACUGGAACUGAGACACGGUCCAGACUCCUACGGGAGGCAGCAGUAGGGAAUCUUCCGCAAUGGGCGAAAGCCUGACGGAGCAACGCCGCGUGAGUGAUGAAGGUCUUCGGAUCGUAAAACUCUGUUAUUAGGGAAGAACAUAUGUGUAAGUAACUGUGCACAUCUUGACGGUACCUAAUCAGAAAGCCACGGCUAACUACGUG